UGUUUGCACUUAGCGGGAAGGGUAAGAACCUUCGACUAAGGUUCGACUCGAGCGCCAGCGAGAGAAUGUUGCCGCAGGCAACGGCCCGAAGGGCGAGGAGCGAGGAGCGAUAGUGACGAGUUAUCCUUCCCCCACCACCA
rnacentral:sRNA from 1 species